UACAGGGGGUGCAAACGUUGCUCGGAAUCAUUGGGCGUAAAGAGCUCGUAGGCGGUCUGUCGCGUCGGCUGUGAAAUCCCGAGGCUCAACAUCGGGUCUGCAGUCGAUACGGGCAAACUAGAGUAUUGCAGGGGAGACUGGAAUUCCUGGUGUAGCGGUGAAAUGCGCAGAUAUCAGGAGGAACACCGGUGGCGAAGGCGGGUCUCUGGGCAAUAACUGACGCUGAGGAGCGAAAGCGUGGGGAGCGAACAGG
rnacentral:rRNA from 1 species